rnacentral:lncRNA from 1 species
AACAUCUUAAACUCAGCAUCAAAUAAAUCAAUAGUUGCUUUUAACCCAAGAAUAUUGUGAACUAUUCACUUCCCCUUAAACAAGAUUUCAAUCCCCUAUUUAAGGUCGAAUCCUAUCCAACACAAGAACCUUCAAUAGGCUAUUAGCUCACCAUACGUAUCUAACAUUAAAUGCACUGAUAACAAACCAACAGAGAUUUAUGUUUGCAUUUAAUUUCUAAACUAAUCCCCACAAAUAAACAUAGAGAAUAUAAGCUCGCAUAAACCAUCAAAAUGACAAUUCUAACUAAGUAAGAUGUUGCAUAUUUCCAAGCUGCAAAGUGGAACCUCAGAUUAGAAGAACACUACCUUGACAUAAUUAAACAACAGUAAUGUCUAACAAUCCAAUCACAUGCCAGAUUCUAAACCUUAUUACAAUUCCAAAUUUCUAAGUUUAAACAUCUAUCUAAAUAACAGCCUUAAACCAACAUCAAUUCUAACUAUCAAUUUAAACAGCUCCAUUAGCAGUUUCAAUAGAAUAUUACAACCAUUUGAAUCACCAUAUCAAGUUACCACUUCACAUUUUUGUUCAUAAACUCACAAAAUCACCCAACCAACAACAAAUUAUUGCAGAUCAACUAAGUAUAGCACUAAUGUUUCAUUACAUCAGACUGAAAACCUGUGAAAGCUGUAAAUAACAUGCACGGCUCUUAACUAGUACAAAUGUAUUACUAAGAACAGGAAUAAACAAGUCAUCAAGCUCAAAGCAAAUUUUUUAUUUAACUAAGUUUCCACCACAUAAUGCAUGGAAAUAACUGUUUUUCCAUCUGUAGUUUAUGGAAAUAACUGGAGAAUGAAAAGAAACAAAGCAAAGUGAGCAGAGGUCAAGCUGCAGUAGAAAGGUAGCAGAAAUCAGCACCAGCAACACCAGCUCAAACCCAAAAAAUAAACCACUUUCAAAUUAACAAUGACCCAGCAAACUUCAAACCAGACUUUAAUGACUCGAAUUCAAUCCAUUUUUACCCCAAGGAAAAUCAAAACAUUUUCAGUAAUGGAAAACUUCAAAAACCACAGAAAAAAUCUAAUGGAACAAUGUUUUUACUAAACAUUUGACCUGUUUUUCUAGUUUUCAUAAUUUUUUCUUUUUUUUUUUGUGGUCUCUGAAAUCUUUUCAUAAAUCUCUCAAAACCUGCUCUAAAAUCUUUUCCAGAAAAAUCUCUAAAAUCCUCCUCCAAAAUCUAAAUUCAACUUCAAUUAGCAAUGCCUUUAUAGACAAGCUAUUAGGGCAGUCUUGAGGGUUAAAAGUUUACCUAUUGCCCCUUUUCCAAUUAUCAUUUUGCUACUUAAUCCCUAAAUUUUUGACUUGCUUGCAAAGUAAGGCUAUUUUUCAGCUUUUAUGAAGCUACAUACGCAGUUACCCAAAGAUUCCCUAAGUUAGACUACCCAAAUAACCCCUUAACGACCCUCAAAUUACCUCGCAAUAGACCAACUUAGGUCAAAUUGACCCAAGGCAGACCAGACAUGAGCCUUUAACAAAACCUGGAUUAAUCCAUUUCUUCGGGCUUUCAAACAAAGUCUGGGUUUCAAAACCCAAAAUCAAACAAACUUGAAAGAAUUUAGCACAAACCUUCAAAAAACGAACAAAAGCACUUUGAAAUAAAAAAAGGACUUCAUAACUAAAUAGCCCCCUUUACAUCAAAACUAAAAGAAAAUCAAACAAACUAAAACCACAUUAAAGGAAAUACGAAUUAACAAUUAGCAUGGAUUAAAGGGACACAUGCAGAAGUGAGUUUGAUAAAACAGAUGAAGAAAAGAUGAACGGAAACAACAAAGAAUAAAAAAUGAAAUAAAAAAUGACCAAAACAAAUCAUGCAAGACCAAACAAUGAACCGGAAUACCUAGCAAGGAUGGCCAACCUUGAAGUUCUUCCUCAAUCUCUCAAUUUUGACCAAAAGGGGUCUCAAUCAUAUGUUCUUAGAUGAAAACACAUUACCAAAGUCCAUUUUGGUCCUAAUCGUCACCAAAUCUGCCGAUUUUAAAGUUUAACAUUUUAGGUCUCAACUUCGACUUUAGAUUUGACAAGAUCGGGGCACAUUCGAGGAAAAAGAGUAAUAGAUUUAAGACGAGUGAGGCUUGACGGUCCUAUGAUGUUAGUUUGGGGUCGAAAGAAAGAGAAACUUUAUGGCCCAAAACUUCCCUUCUUCAAUCCUAAAGGCUUUUAAAAGGAGAAGAAAAGAGGAGACAGGAAAAUGAAAUAAUGUGGUCCAAGUUUCAAAUCUAAACAAAUGAGUUACAUUUGGACUAAGAGAAAGGGUUGUCUUGAGUGUUCAAGAGUGUUA